AGAAUGAACGUUGGCGGCGUGGAUUAGGCAUGCAAGUCGUACGGGCCGCAAGGCCAGUGGCGCAAGGGUGAGUAAGGCGACGGUAACCAACCCCAUGAUUGGGUAUAGCCGCGGGAAACUGCGGGUAAUCCCCAGCGACGUCCCGGGGGGGCAUCUCCCUGGGACCAAAGCUCCGGCGUCGUGGGACGGGCUGUCGUGGUAUUAGCUAGUUGGCGGGGUAACGGCCCACCAAGGCUCUGAUGCCUACCGGGCGUGCGAGCGUGGCCCGGCACACUGGGACUGAGACACUGCCCAGACACCUACGGGUGGCAGCAGUCGAGAAUUUUUCUCAAUGGGGGAAACCCUGAAGGAGCGACGCCGCGUGGAGGAUGAAGGUCUUCGGGUUGUAAACUCCUGUCAUUUGGGAACAAUGCGCAAAUAUUAACUGUAUUUGCGUUGAUAGUACCAGAAGAGGAAGGGACGGCUAACUCUGUGCCAGCAGCCGC
rnacentral:rRNA from 1 species